GCACAAUGAAGACUGGCAGUGAUAGUGCUAUUAGGUACCGUUGCGUCAGGAACAUGAAAUACAACAUUAUUGGGUUUCUGAUCAGAAAUCUUGACUGUAUCAGAACAAUUUGUCAGGCAGUCAUACAUGUCUGCACUCUGAUCAUUUGCUGCUGCUGCUAUUUCCAUAGACCUUGCUGGAGCAAACAACUCUUUUUGACUGUUCUCU
rnacentral:misc_RNA from 1 species